rnacentral:rRNA from 1 species
UAGGGAAUCUUCGGCAAUGGACGGAAGUCUGACCGAGCAACGCCGCGUGAGUGAAGAAGGCUUUCGGAUCGUAAAGCUCUGUUGUUAGAGAAGAACGUUGGUAGGAGAGGAAAAUCUACCAAGUGACGGUAACUAACCAGAAAGGGACGGCUAACUACGUGCCAGCAGCCGCGGUAAUACGUAGGUCCCGAGCGUUGUCCGGAUUUAUUGGGCGUAAAGCGAGCGCAGGCGGUUCUUUAAGUCUGAAGUUAAAGGCAGUGGCUUAACCAUUGUACGCUUUGGAAACUGGAGGACUUGAGUGCAGAAGGGGAGAGUAGAAUUCCAUGUGUAGCGGUGAAAUGCGUAGAUAUAUGGAGGAACACCGGUGGCGAAAGCGGCUCUCUGGUCUGUAACUGACGCUGAGGCUCGAAAGCGUGGGGAGCAAACAGG